UCAAAGUAUGAGGAUGGGUUCAUAUAACAGUUAUACUUGUCUUGUUAUCCAAAAGUACUGUAAGCAUGGACAUGGUUUUAUAGCCUGAGCAAACAUCAGGACACAGGGCUGCCUUAGGGCUGCCUGGUAGAACAAUGGGAGCACUAGUCACAAGUGAGGUUCCAUGAUGUCAUCAUAACAGUCAGUGAGUAUAUCCUGCAGCUGCUGGAGCUGACCAGUCACCAUUCAUCUGAGCCUACCCGAGUGACAACAUCUGUUAGACAAUGGCACAGAGAAGACAUCGCCCACGCCAACGGCCAAGACGUAGGAGAACUUCUCACAAAAGAAGAGGUGUAUCGAGAAGCAGAAGAGCUAGACACUGGUAUUACUACAAAGUGCUGGGAUAGGCUAGGAUGACCUCCACCUCCUGCCACACCAAAGUCAUGUUUCUGAAGAUCAUCAAGCAGCCUAGAACAUCAGGGAAGCUGCAGAGACAGUGUGAAACAACAAGUGUUCAUGAGAACUAGACCAACCGUAUGAACAUCUAUGACCUGGUUUCAGCAAAAAUGGAAACAUGGAUUGGACAAUGUGGCUUAUAUCCAGCAGGAGAUGCUAAGCACUGUUAGUUAAUAAAUGCUGAUAAGUAA